AUUGAACGCUGGCGGCAGGCCUAACACAUGCAAGUCGAGCGAGAGGCGGACGGGUGAGUAAUGUAUGGGGACUGCCCGUUAGAGGGGGAUCACUCCUGGAAACGGUAUCUAAAACCGCAUACUAUCGGAUAACCCAUAUGUGAUUAGCUAGUAGGUGAGGUAAUGGCUCACCUAGGCGACGAUCCCUAGCUGGUCUGAGAGGAUGAUCAGCAACACGGGGACGGAGACACGGCCCAGACUCCUACGGAGGCAGCAGUGGAGAAUAUUCAACAAGGGGCGAAAGCCUGAUGCAGCCAUGCCGCGUGUAGGAAGAAGGCCCGAGGGUUGUAAAGUACUUUCAGUCGGGAGGCGGUACCGACAGAAGAAGCACCGGCUAACUCCGUGCCAGCAGCCGCGGUAAUAC
rnacentral:rRNA from 1 species